GGGCGUAUAGCUCAGCGGGAGAGCAUCGGCCUUACAAGCCGAGGGUCGCAGGUUCAAACCCUGCUGCGCCCA
rnacentral:tRNA from 1 species